AUAUGGGAGUGGAAAGCCCAUAUUAUGACGGUACUGUAUCAGAAAGUGACGGCAAACUAUGUGCCAGCAGCCGCGGUAAUACAUAGGUCACAAGCGUUAUCCGAAAUUAUUGGGCGUAAAGCGUCCGUAGGUUGUUUAUUAAGUCUGGAGUCAAAGACCGGUGCUCAACGCCGGCACGCUUUAGAUACUGGUAGACUAGAGUUAUAAAGAGGUGAGUGGAAUUUCAUGUGAAGCGGUGGAAUGCGUAGAUAUAUGAAAGAACACCAAUGGCGAAGGCAGCUCACUGGUUAUAUACUGACACUGAGGGACGAAAGCGUGGGGAGCAAACAGGAUUAGAUACCCUGGUAGUCCACGCCGUAAACGAUGAUCAUUAGUUGGUGGGAGAAUCUCACUAACGCAGCUAACGCAUUAAAUGAUCCGCCUGAGUAGUAUGCUCGCAAGAGUGAAACUUAAAGGAAUUGACGGGGACCCGCACAAGCGGUGGAGCAUGUGGUUUAAUUUGACGAUACGCGUAGAACCUUACCCACUCUUGACAUCCUCUGCAAAGCUAUAGAGAUAUAGUCGAGGUUAACAGAGUGACAGAUGGUGCAUGGUUGUCGUCAGCUCGUGUCGUGAGAUGUUCGGUUAAGUCCUGCAACGAGCGCAACCCCUAUCCUUAUUUACUACCAUUAAGUUGAGAACUAUACGGAUACUGCUCAGGUAACUGGGAGGAAGGUGGGGAUGACGUCAAAUCAUCAUGCCUCUUACGAGUGGGGCAACACACGUGCUACAAUGGCCGGUACAAAGAGACGCAAUAUGGUGACAUGGAGCAAAUCUGAAAAACCGGUCUCAGUUCGGAUUGAAGGCUGCAAUUCGCCUUCAUGAAGUCGGAAUCGCUAGUAAUCGUAGAUCAGCUACGCUACGGUGAAUACGUUCUCGGGUCUUGUACACACCGCCCGUCACACCAUGGGA
rnacentral:rRNA from 1 species